rnacentral:lncRNA from 1 species
AGGUAACUAUGGUGGUGGUGGGAACUAUAAUGACUUUGGAAAUUAUAGUGGACAGCAACAAUCUAAUUAUGGACCCAUGAAGGGGGGCAGUUUUGGUGGAAGAAGCUCAGGCAGUCCCUAUGGUGGUGGCUAUGGAUCUGGAGGUGGAAGUGGUGGAUAUGGUAGCAGAAGGUUUUAAAAUAAAACAAACGCUUUUCAGAGCAAAGGAAUAAAAAUCACUGGUUUGAACCCCUGACUGGCUGGCAUGCUUUCCUGUUCAUAUUCUAGCCAUUUUGCUGGAUGGUGAAGCAAAGUAUAGUAAGGUGUCGUCUAAACCAAGCAGCAGAAGAUGUAGCACACACAGUUGCUCAGUGCAAGCACCUCACUUCCCAAAUAUCUCAAUUCAAAUUCAGAACGUCUUGAGUCCUUAAAUCCCCAAAGAACACAUGGUUAUUCUUGUAUAUAUAUCAUUCUAAAACAUGUUGGGUGUGACAAUUUGGAGAACCUGUUUGAGGAGCUUUAGAUACUAAGGUGGUCAUAUACAUGAAAAAAAAAUGUCUGCUGUUGCGCCAGCUAGUGCUUAACAAUUUCAUUCAAGUCCUAAGUAUGUGCCCUGCUGUUACUUUCUUUGGCAGUUGACCGUUGAAUUCAGAUUUUUACUUGGUUUUUAAAGUAUAAGCU